AGAGUUUGAUUCUGGCUCAGGACGAACGCUGGCGGCGUGCCUAACACAUGCAAGUCGAGCGAUCGGCCUCCGGGGGGUAACCCCUGGAGGUACGGAGCGGCGAACGGGUGAGUAACACGUGGGCAACCUGCCCCAGGCUCUGGAAUAACCCCGGGAAACCGGGGCUAAUGCCGGGUACUCUCGCCGGGUCGCAUGGCCUGGUGAGGAAAGGAUUCCGGCCUGGGAUGGGCCCGCGGCCUAUCAGCUAGUUGGUGAGGUAACGGCCCACCAAGGCGACGACGGGUAGCUGGCGUGAGAGCGCGGCCAGCCACACUGGGACUGAGACACGGCCCAGACUCCUACGGGAGGCAGCAGUGGGGAAUCUUGCACAAUGGGCGGAAGCCUGAUGCAGCGACGCCGCGUGGGGGAUGAAGGCCCUCGGGUUGUAAACCCCUUUCGCCGGGGAAGAAGCGAAAGUGACGGUACCCGGAGAAGAAGCCCCGGCUAACUACGUGCCAGCAGCCGCGGUAAGACGUAGGGGGCGAGCGUUGUCCGGAUUUACUGGGCGUAAAGCGCGCGCAGGCGGCCCGUUAAGUCGAAUGUGAAAACCUGGGGCUCAGCCCCAGGCCUGCAUCCGAUACUGGCGGGCUCGAGGCAGGUAGGGGAGAGCGGAAUUCCCGGUGUAGCGGUGAAAUGCGCAGAUAUCGGGAGGAACACCGGUGGCGAAAGCGGCUCUCUGGGCCUGUCCUGACGCUCAGGCGCGAAAGCUAGGGGAGCAAACAGGAUUAGAUACCCUGGUAGUCCUAGCCGUAAACGUUGGGUGCUAGGGGUGGGGGGCCGGUCGAUUGACCCGCCCUGUGCCGAAGCUAACGCAUUAAGCACCCCGCCUGGGGAGUACAGGCCGCAAGGCUUAAUACUCAAAUGAGUUGACCGGGG
rnacentral:rRNA from 1 species